rnacentral:misc_RNA from 1 species
GAAAUGCGAUAAGUAAUGCGAAUUGCAGAAUUUCCGUGAGUCAUCGAAUCUUUGAACGCACAUUGCGCCCAUUGGUAUUCCGAUGGGCAUGCCUGUUUGAGUAUCAUGAAAUCUUCAAAGUAAAUCUUUUGUUAACUCAAUUGGUUUCUACUUUGGUAUUGGAGGUCUUUGCAGCUUCACACCUGCUCCUCUUUGUUCAUUAGCUGGAUCUCAGUGUUAUGCUUGGUUCCACUCGGCGUGAUAAGUUAUCUAUCGCUGAGGACACUGUAAAAGGUGGCCAAGGUAAAUGCAGAUGAACCGCUUCUAAUAGUCCAUUGACUUGGACAAUACUUUUAUGAUCUGAUCUCAAAUCAGGUAGGACUACCCGCUGAACUUAAGC